rnacentral:rRNA from 1 species
GCGGAGGAAAAGAAAAUAACAAUGAUAUCCCUAGUAACGGCGAGUGAAGAGGAUAGAGCUCAAAGUUGGAACCUGCUUGGUGUAGCUAAGCCGGAUUGUAAACUAGAGAAGUGUUUUCCUGGCUGGCCGAGUAAAAAAGUCCUUUGGAACAGGGCAUCAUAGAGGGUGAGAAUCCCGUCUUUGGCUCGAGCAUUAGUCUUUUGUGAUACAUUUUCAAUGAGUCAGGUUGUUUGGGAAUGCAGCCUAAAUUGGGAGGUAAAUCUCUCCUAAAGCUAAAUAUUUGCGAGAAACCGAUAGCGAACAAGUACCGUGAGGGAAAGAUGAAAAGAACUUUGAAAAGAGAGUUAAACAGUAUGUGAAAUUGUUAAAAGGGAACCGUUUGGAGCCAGUCUGGCUUUCCUAUAAUCAAUCUAGGCUUCGGCCUUGAUGCACUUGUAGGUUAUCGCCGGCCAACGACAAUUGGGAUCGCGAGGGAAAAAACCUUUGGAAAUGUAGCCAUUCUGCAAAGUUUGGUGUUAUAGUCCUUGGGAAAAUACCUUGUGCUCGAUUGAGGAUCGCAGUGAAUGCCUUUCGGGGCAGGAUGUGGUGAGGUAGGUUUGCUUGACCUAAGGUGACUUUCGGGUUGCUUUAGCGAUGGCUUACUC